rnacentral:rRNA from 1 species
AGACCCGAAACCCGGUGAUCUAGCCAUGGGCAGGUUGAAGGUUGGGUAACACUAACUGGAGGACCGAACCGACUAAUGUUGAAAAAUUAGCGGAUGACCUGUGGCUGGGGGUGAAAGGCCAAUCAAACCGGGAGAUAGCUGGUUCUCCCCGAAAGCUAUUUAGGUAGCGCCUCGUGAAUUCAUCUCCGGGGGUAGAGCACUGUUUCGGCUAGGGGGCCAUCCCGGCUUACCAACCCGAUGCAAACUGCGAAUACCGGAGAAUGUUAUCACGGGAGACACACGGCGGGUGCUAACGUCCGUCGUGAAGAGGGAAACAACCCAGACCGCCAGCUAAGGUCCCAAAGUCAUGGUUAAGUGGGAAACGAUGUGGGAAGGCCCAGACAGCCAGGAUGUUGGCUUAGAAGCAGCCAUCAUUUAAAGAAAGCGUAAUAGCUCACUGGUCGAGUCGGCCUGCGCGGAAGAUGUAACGGGGCUAAACCAUGCACCGAAGCUGCGGCAGCGAACGUAUCACUUAAAGCGAUUCAGCGGGUUACGAUUGACGGAGCGAAGCGACGUCAAAGCGUAUACAAAGUCGAGUCGGUUUAAGGAUACGUUCGUUGGGUAGGGGAGCGUUCUGUAAGCCUGUGAAGGUGUGUCGUGAGGCAUGCUGGAGGUAUCAGAAGUGCGAAUGCUGACAUAAGUAACGAUAAAGCGGGUGAAAAGCCCGCUCGCCGGAAGACCAAGGGUUCCUGUCCAACGUUAAUCGGGGCAGGGUGAGUCGACCCCUAAGGCGAGGCCGAAAGGCGUAGUCGAUGGG